rnacentral:rRNA from 1 species
UACGGAGGGUGCGAGCGUUGUCCGGAAUCACUGGGCGUAAAGGGCGCGCAGGCGGCCCUUGAAGUCAGGCGUGAAAGCCCCGGGCUCAACCUGGGAGGUGCGCUUGAUACUCGAGGGCUUGAGUGCGGGAGAGGAGAGUGGAAUUCCCAGUGUAGAGGUGAAAUUCGUAGAUAUCAGGAGGAACACCGGUGGUGUAGACGGCUUUCUGGACCGUAACUGACGCUGAGACACGAAAGCGUGGGUAGCAAACAGG